rnacentral:rRNA from 1 species
UGCAGAGGGUGCAAGCGUUGUCCGGAAUCACUGGGCGUAAAGGGCGCGUAGGUGGCCUGAUAAGUAGGAGGUGAAAUCCUGGGGCUUAACCUCAGGGCUGCCUUCUAGACUGUCCGGCUCGAGCACAGUAGAGGCAGGUGGAAUUCCCGGUGUAGCGGUGGAAUGCGUAGAGAUCGGGAAGAACACCAGUGGCGAAGGCGACUACCUGGCCUGUUCUUGACGCUGAGGCGCGAAAGCUAGGGGAGCAAACGGG